rnacentral:rRNA from 1 species
AGAGUUUGAUCCUGGCUCAGGACGAACGCUGGCGGCGUGCUUAACACAUGCAAGUCGAACGAUGAACCACUUCGGUGGGGAUUAGUGGCGAACGGGUGAGUAACACGUGGGCAAUCUGCCCUGCACUCUGGGACAAGCCCUGGAAACGGGGUCUAAUACCGGAUACUGAUCCUCACGGGCAUCUGUGAGGGUCGAAAGCUCCGGCGGUGCAGGAUGAGCCCGCGGCCUAUCAGCUAGUUGGUGAGGUAAUGGCUCACCAAGGCGACGACGGGUAGCCGGCCUGAGAGGGCGACCGGCCACACUGGGACUGAGACACGGCCCAGACUCCUACGGGAGGCAGCAGUGGGGAAUAUUGCACAAUGGGCGAAAGCCUGAUGCAGCGACGCCGCGUGAGGGAUGACGGCCUUCGGGUUGUAAACCUCUUUCAGCAGGGAAGAAGCGAAAGUGACGGUACCUGCAGAAGAAGCGCCGGCUAACUACGUGCCAGCAGCCGCGGUAAUACGUAGGGCGCAAGCGUUGUCCGGAAUUAUUGGGCGUAAAGAGCUCGUAGGCGGCUUGUCACGUCGGUUGUGAAAGCCCGGGGCUUAACCCCGGGUCUGCAGUCGAUACGGGCAGGCUAGAGUUCGGUAGGGGAGAUCGGAAUUCCUGGUGUAGCGGUGAAAUGCGCAGAUAUCAGGAGGAACACCGGUGGCGAAGGCGGAUCUCUGGGCCGAUACUGACGCUGAGGAGCGAAAGCGUGGGGAGCGAACAGGAUUAGAUACCCUGGUAGUCCACGCCGUAAACGGUGGGCACUAGGUGUGGGCAACAUUCCACGUUGUCCGUGCCGCAGCUAACGCAUUAAGUGCCCCGCCUGGGGAGUACGGCCG